ensembl:rRNA 5S_rRNA 5S ribosomal RNA
CCCUGUAGUUCUGGCCUUGUUUCCCACUGAAGUUAAGCAAGGUUGAGCCUGGCCAGUACCUGGAUGGGAGACCUACUGGGCAAAACUAAGGUUGCUGCUGGAA